GGAGGAGACAUGAACAUGACAGAGAGAUGAUUGCCUUAGAAAGGGAUGGAAGGUACUGGGAAAUGGGUUUUUAAGUUGAUUUGUGGCGGGUUUUUUCUUGCUAGGACCAGUACAGGACUAGGUGUAAUGGACGUGGUGUGAUCGUGGAAUUUUGGCCUCCUGCAUCACUUAUGCAAAUUUCUGAGUUCAUCAGAGCACCAAUCCCAUCUUCUCUGUGGUGGCCCUGGGACAAACUGGGAAAACCCAGAUUUUUCAUGAACAAGGGGGUCAGAAACUCGGAUGCCCCUGUUCAGCACCUCCUGCCCUUGCACAGGGCACUGGAAGUUCAGAUCCUGCUGUGCUGGAUCCUGAGGAUGAGCAAACACUCCUUAGUGGCAUCACUAGGCUGGGGUGAGCCAUGAGCUUUGGAACAGCAUCAGGUCUGUGUGUCCUCAUCUCUGGAGCUCAGCUUGCAGCAGGAGGUGAAGGUGGAACAUUUUAACCUGGGAGGGUUGUUUAUUUUUACUGUGGUUGCUUUAUGCCCUCCCUGGAGGUAGAAAGAGGCAUUGGCUUGGAGAGAGUCCAAGAGAAACUCUUUGAACUGUGCAGGAUAGGACCCCAUCCUUUCAUCUUGGUGCUUGACAGCCACACCAUGAGCUCCAUGCUGCAUCUCUGCUCCCUGAAAAACUGUGUCUCCCUCCUGGAGUCAACAAGACUUUCCUCAAACCAUCCCUGGGGUGCUUUAAAGCCUCCCCAUCCAUCUCCUGCAGGCUCCAGACCACCUCGAUGCUCCAGGAAAUUCACUUUCCCUUCUCCAUUGAUUUCUGUGGCUUUGAACUGGUACCACACACCCACCUGGCACUGAAGAGGAAAUGUCACAUUUGGAGAAACAUCUGCACCCUUCUUCUGAUGCACCAAGAGUGACAGAUAAUCAAUUCUAUUCCACACAGUCCAGGCUUGCUGAGGCAAAUUCUUGCCAUGCAGUUAACUCCCUCUGUUUUUAAAACAGGGGGGAAAUAAAAGGAUAUAUUGAUUUUAUGAUGCCAACACCAUUAUUUUUUAGCAUAAAUGCUGACAACAGCCUCAAGUUUCCAGGCUUUUAUGUUCCCCAACACUGCAGGAAAAAUAAAAAUCAGGCUUUGCCCAUGAA